ACUGGGUGUGGUGGCUCACGCCUGUAAUCCCAGUGGCUCAGGAGGCUGAGACAGGAGGAUUGUGAGUUCGAAGCCAGCUUCAGCAACUUAGUGAGGACCUGAGCAACUCAGAGAGACUCUGUCUCUA
rnacentral:sRNA from 1 species